CCCUUAGAUGUUCUGGGCCGCACACGCGCUACACUGAAGGAGGCAGCGUGUACUCCUGGAUCGAAAGAUUUGGGUAACCCGCGAAUCUCCUUCGUGCUAGGGAUUGAGGUUUGCAAUUAUCCUUCAUGAACGAGGAAUUCCCAGUAAGUGCAAGUCAUAAGCUUGCGCUGACUACGUCCCUGCCCUUUGUACACACCGCCCGUCGCUACUACCGAUUGAAUGAUUUAGUGAAUUGCAGGGACUUUGCUGGCCUCUUGGUUUCCUUGAGCCGGCAUCGGAACUGCCGUAAACUUGACCAUUUAGAGGAAGUAAAAGUCGUAACA
rnacentral:rRNA from 1 species